CGGGUGAGUAACACGUAUCCAACCUGCCGUCUACUCUUGGACAGCCUUCUGAAAGGAAGAUUAAUACAAGAUGGCAUCAUGAGUCCACAUGUUCACAUGAUUAAAGGUAUUCCGGUAGACGAUGGGGAUGCGUUCCAUUAGAUAGCAGGCGGGGUAACGGCCCACCUAGUCUUCGAUGGAUAGGGGUUCUGAGAGGAAGGUCCCCCACAUUGGAACUGAGACACGGUCCAA
rnacentral:rRNA from 1 species